GAAUCUUGCACAAUGGGGGAAACCCUGAUGCAGCGACGCCGCGUGAGCGAUGAAGCCCUUCGGGGUGUAAAGCUCUUUCGACGGGAACGAUAAUGACGGUACCCGGAGAAGAAGCUGCGGCUAACUACGUGCCAGCAGCCGCGGUAAUACGUAGGCAGCAAGCGUUGUUCGGGGUUACUGGGCGUAAAGAGUACGUAGGCGGUUUGCUAAGUCUGGUGUGAAAUCUCCUGGCUUAACUGGGAGGGUGCGCUAGAUACUGGCAGGCUUGAGUAUGGGAGAGGAGAGUGGAAUUCCUGGUGUAGCGGUGAAAUGCGUAGAUAUCUGGAGGAACACCGGUGGCGAAGGCGGCAUCCUGGACCGACACUGACGCUGAGGCGCGAAAGCUAGGGGAGCAAAC
rnacentral:rRNA from 1 species